rnacentral:lncRNA from 1 species
AACCAAAAUGACUCCUCACAGAAGCAAGCUUCCCGACAACCUCAACAAUCCUAUGAGGAUCAAAAUCACCUCCUCCUCCUCCUCCUCCUCUAUGACCAUGUAUACCUCCUCCUACUUUCACAAACGGUUGAUUAGGAAGAGGUGGGACCCAGUAAGAGUAUCCAGGCAAAAAAGGGAGCCAAUCAGGUGCGGAACGUCUCACGAUAACCGAAUGGAUCACCUCUUCUAACUUCCUUAUUCCGCCUUCCGAUCCGAUAGAGGAGGAAUCGAGAUCGAUCUCGAUUAACUGAGGGUGAGGUGGUUCUCCUUCGCCGGAACCAUCGCCGUCGCCGGAUCGGUUGGAGUUUGAACGGUGACGGAGAGUGAGGGCAAGAGGUGGGGCGAAUUUGGG